UUUCUCCUCCUUGUCUCAGCUUCAGCGCGAGAAUGCCCUUUACUUUUCCAUCUUUUUAAACUCUCCCUUAAACUGACUGGUACUAUCGAUAGCUCGGCGCUCGGCCUUUCGGAGCUGGGGAGGGUGGAGAACACCGAGUAGCGAGAUGGGUGGAGAGGCUUGGAUUGGCGUGUUAUGAUUAGGCUCCAUGUUUAGCCGCCAUUUCGGAAGCAGAACCGUCUGGCUAAGAAAAGGUCCUCUUUCAUCUUUCUUGUCAGACAUAUUAAUGAAGCUCCAUUCAAGGAACUGCAAGACCAUUAAAGAAAGAUCGAAGCAUAUCAAAGAAUGAGUCUUUACAGCAAUAACUGUUUAACAUUACCAUUUCUAAUUUAGACUUCUUUGGAGUCUGCAUUUAUAGUUAUAAGAUAACUGCUAGAAUGUGAUUGCCAUCCACAGAAAAUAAAACUUGCUUUAAGGCUGCAGUCUUGAGCACAUUAACCCAGGAGUAAGCCCCAGUGAACUUUGUGGAACUUACUUCUGGAUAGACAUGUAUAGGAUUCCUCUGUAAGUCAAGUUGAAAGCAGAGUAAUUUAAAGUGAUAGUUAAGGAUGAUACUGUUGUUGAUUUUGUCCCCACUGAAAGAAUGAUAAAUUGCUAAUACAAAUAUAUUUGAGAACUACAUCAGGCAUGCAAACAAAGAUGCCUUGAUAAUUGGCUCUAUAAUGAAACUAUUAUGUGAGUGCACAGUUAACACUAUAAGCUCAGAAGUAGUCGUAGUUUAAUUUUGUGACUAAGUAAAUAGAUAUAAUGUUUUUCAGUGGUACCAGGAUGGCAGAACUGGCCCUGGGUUUCUCAAUUUGCAUGGUUGUUUGCCCUGGCACUCCCUUCCAGAGUAAGUGUAAAAGAGGGGAUUUGUUUGCUCUGCAUGACUCAUUGUGAGUGGGCCACUUAAAACUGAACCUUUGACCUAGUUCACAUGACAUGGCCAAGUGGGUUAUUUAACUCAUGAUGGGCUGCAAAGCAUAUGUCAUCAUUUUCAGUAACCCCAGUUACCACCCAGAGAGUCCUGCUUGGGCUAUUGGGUGUGGUUUCAUAAAUCAAAUAAAUCACAACUUUUGUCAUACAAACUUCACUAUCAAGGAUUAUUUGAGAGUUAAACUACCUUGGCAUAAUCUUCCAUUAGUAGUACAAUUAUGUGAGGGCUGUUUAACCCUCAGAGCAGGAUAGCCAAGCUCACACAACAUGGCACAAGCCAGUAUCACCUUGAUUGGGUGCUGCAUGUUUAAAAUGGAAGCUGCAUGCACCUGGAACAUGCCACAGCUGGUAUCAUUUAUGCUACUUGAGAGUCACAUGAUGAUUCUAAGAGAACCUCCAUACUACAAAGUGGGGAACAUAAACCAUCCAGAUUGAACACCCUCUAUCCAGCAAACCACCUACUGAACUCCCUCUGUCCGGAAGAGCCACCCACUCAGCAUUUUGAACUUGUCUGGAUUGUGCUUCAGUUUAUUAGGCCACAUCCAGUCCACUAUUAUAAUUAGACCCAGAUCUACCACAUUAAAAUGAAGUAGAGCUGCUUAACCUUGGAAACCCCUCAGUAGUUUCAUGUAAAUACUAUCCUGUGGGACAAACCAAGCAUCAUUCAUGAGGCUGAGCAAUAUCUCCAAACACUACCUUCUGCAGCCGGUCAUCUAGACUUCUGUAGCUGACUAGAAGUAAAACUAGAGCAAGCAAUAAUCUCCAUCUUUGCUCAAACAGUUGCCCCAGAAAAAUACUAUGGUCAGUGGUUGAAAAGAGGCCAAAAACUAAGGAAAACCAACAGGGUCACAUUCUCCCUGUCUCCCCCCCCCCCAUACAGGUGAUGGAACAGGACAGCCAAUCCUGUUUUCAUCACUGGCAAAGCUUUACCAGACGAAGAUGAUAGGAAGAGGGUGUGCUUUUGGUAUAAGCCACAUCAUUUUGGGCCAUUUGUAAUGAGUGGGGUAAAAUCAAUGCCAUUUACUAAGGGAAUUGAUGCCCUUUUCCUGCAUAGUACAUACUUGCCAUAUAUCUUCUAUGUGGAAGAUAAAAUAGGGGAGAACAGUCAGAUGAGUAAAAUGUCAAGAGUUUUUGUUUUUUGUACACCAUUCCGAAGCCAUCAAAUUGCAAUUUAAAUUAGUGUCUAUACAAAGCACGGUAACAGCCACAAAUCUGCAGUUUGCCAGCCUGCUGUGGGAAAUAAAAUGUUGCUCUGUUGACCAUUUUUAGUUCUGGGAAUGAGUAAGCAAGGACUCAACAACUAAUGAACAUCACUUCUCAGUAACAGAGCAAAUGCAAAUUUGAUCCUCUGCAUGUGUGUCCUCACUUCAACUUGCAGUCUUCACAGAUCUGUAAAGGAUUAUAACUCUUGCUAUAACAAGACCAAUGUGAGUGACUAUUUUUAGAACUGAACAGACUCCUUAUUUAGCCUUGAUAGAACAGAAAGGAUUGUUUUGCACAACUUCGUGAAAAAAAUUUGUAACAUUUCCAAUUAUAACAUUUAGCAUUGUGGAAUCUCUACUUCAAGAAACUAUCAGAAGAACUAACUAAGAAAAUCAAGCUGAAUUAAUUCCAGAUGUAAUUAUAGCCUUUUCUAGAAUUUUAGCAGACUAAAUCUGGCUCUCUACUUGUUAACCACUCCCAUGAAAUAAAAUAACACAUAAUUAAGAGGACUAUUGUAUAGCUAGAAGAACCAUUGAUUAAGAUCCAGGCCAUUCGUGUUACUUUGUACAAGUUAAUUUAAGAAUGGGGCUCUCUACAUCCCAAAAGGAUAGGUGGACUUUUAGGGUUGUAUGCACAUUUGACAAUGUGAGAAACUGUCUUGGGCACCACCACAAAUGGCUGCUAACAUGGGAGGCAAAGUAAAGGGCAAGUGACCUGGCUAAAAGUUUUGCGUAUACUUCUCAGCACACUAAACUCCUUUAAACUCGGUUUCCAGUAAUAACAAAAGUCCCAGCUUUACUGCACAGUUCCUGAUUGGCUCCUUUGUAGGUUGUGCAACAUGAUGAGUGAACCUGCAUCAUUGGAUUGUGUGCAGAUUAAACAACUUGGUGGCUAACCCAACAACACACUAUGUCUUUAAACUGAUGGAGUGUGGCCAUGUAGGUUGUGUUCAUAUAUAAUACUAACCCAUGCAUUGUUGGAUUGUGCACUGUUGUAUGAACUCAACCACACUAGCAAAGCAUCAACCAGUUUAUUAACCAGAUAAUCCAGAAAGAAAACUUAUGGUUGGUUGUUGGGUUGUGCACUCUGGGUUGUUUAAAGCAUGUAUUUUCAUUAGGUUUGAACUCAGAAUUCUGCAUUGUUCAUAGGUUGUUUUGUCACGCUACAGGGAUGACAGGUAAAAGUGAUUACUCCUCCGUACACACAAAGUCACUCUAUUACUAGUACUACAUUUUCACAAAUUGGGAAUGUCUGCUAGACAACAUGGCUUAACUGUGAGUUAAAAUUAUGUACAAACCAGAUCAAAAGCAUCUGUUAAUUUUUUUUUUUAAAUGCCACUUUGCAUGUGGUAGGCAGUGCCCUAUAUUGGGACUUGUUGGGAUUUGAUAAGUCAGAAGUGUUUAGGGGAUGAAAAUGAGCAUGUAGUUAAUAUUGGUUUGCAAAAUGAAGCACUUUUAAUGAAUUUACUACUCUGAUCAGCUUGCUUUGCAUCCAGUGAUGCCUGUGAGAUUUAGUGUUUCAUCCACUGGCAAAUGAGAAAAGUCAUUAUGCAUAUUUAUCACAUGAUCCACUUCAUUAGACAAAUGGAUCUGGGAGAAUAAGCUAUCCUCCUAGAAGACUCUUCAGAGCUCCCACACAAACUGUUUACUGAUGUAUAUUCUUCCUUAGUGAGGGAAACAAUGAAUUUCUUUAUAGUGGAAUGAAUGAUUCAGGAAGUUCAUUCUCUCCUAUCCUUAUUCACAAGUACAGAGAGGAAGCACCCAAAGAUAGUCUCACAAUGAAGCUACAGAGACCUUGUAAAGCUUUAAGUAAGAAAGGAUAAAUCAAUGGAAGCUAGCUGUUAGCCAAAGCUGCCUCAUUUGUACUUGUGUAGCUGCCAUAUAAUGUUGUAGUGUUCAUGCAGAACUUUGGCUGUGACUGGGGUUUAUAAGCUGUGCUUGAUAGAAAAUAGUUUCUUAUGUGUAUAGACAUGAGGUCAGUCAUAUUUUCAUAUGAUUCAGCUGGAAGCACAUGGUCUUUUUUUUACAGCAUAUUCUAGAAUUUAUUAAAUGUUUCUAAAGUAUUA